rnacentral:rRNA from 1 species
GCAUUAGUAAUGGCUCACCAAGGCGUCGACGGGUAGCCGGCCUGAGAGGGUGACCGGCCACACUGGGACUGAGACACGGCCCAGACUCCUACGGGAGGCAGCAGUGGGGAAUAUUGCACAAUGGGCGGAAGCCUGAUGCAGCAACGCCGCGUGAGGGAUGACGGCCUUCGGGUUGUAAACCUCUUUUAGCAGGGAAGAAGCGAGAGUGACGGUACCUGCAGAAAAAGCACCGGCUAACUACGUGCAAGCAGCCGCGGUAAUACGUAGGGUGCAAGCGUUAUCCGGAAUUAUUGGGCGUAAAGAGCUCGUAGGCGGUUUGUCGCGUCUGCUGUGAAAUCCCGAGGCUCAACCUCGGGCCUGCAGUGGGUACGGGCAGACUAGAGUGCGGUAGGGGGAGAUUGGAAUUCCUGGUGUAGCGGUGGAAUGCGCAGAUAUCAGGAGGAACACCGAUGGCGAAGGCAGAUCUCUGGGCCGUAACUGACGCUGAGGAGCGAAAGGGUGGGGAGCAAACAGGCUUAGAUACCCUGGUAGUCCACCCCGUAAACGUUGGGAACUAGUUGUGGGGUCCUUUCACGGAAUUCCGUGAAGCAGCUAACGCAUUAAGUUCCCCGCCUGGGGGAGUACGGCCGCAAGGCUAAAACUCAAAGGAAUUGACGGGGACCCGCACAAGCGGCGGAGCAUGCGGAUUAAUUCGAUGCACCGCGAA